rnacentral:rRNA from 1 species
UGGUCCUACGGGAGGCAGCAGUGAGGAAUAUUGGUCAAUGGGCGGAAGCCUGAACCAGCCAAGUUGCGUGAGGGAAUAAGGCCCUACGGGUCGUAAACCUCUUUUGCCGGGGAGCAAGGGCGGGGACGUGUCCCGGCCCGGAGAGUACCCGGAGAAAAAGCAUCGGCUAACUCCGUGCCAGCAGCCGCGGUAAUACGGAGGAUGCGAGCGUUAUCCGGAUUUAGUGGGAUUAAAGGGUGCGUAGGCGGGGUUGUAAGUCAGCGGUAGAAAUUCGGGG